rnacentral:rRNA from 1 species
UACGUAGGGGGCAAGCGUUGUCCGGAAUCAUUGGGCGUAAAGAGCGUGUAGGCGGCUUGGUAAGUCCGCUGUGAAAGUCCAGGGCUCAACCCUGGAAAGCCGGUGGAAACUGCCAAGCUUGAGUCCGGAAGAGGCGAGUGGAAUUCCUGGUGUAGCGGUGAAAUGCGCAGAUAUCAGGAGGAACACCAAUGGCGAAGGCAGCUCGCUGGGACGGUACUGACGCUGAGACGCGAAAGCGUGGGGAGCAAACAGG